rnacentral:rRNA from 1 species
GAACGCUGGCGGCAUGCCUUACACAUGCAAGUCGAACGGCAGCACGGGAGCAAUCCUGGUGGCGAGUGGCGAACGGGUGAGUAAUAUAUCGGAACGUGCCCAGUCGUGGGGGAUAACGUAGCGAAAGCUACGCUAAUACCGCAUACGAUCUAUGGAUGAAAGCGAGGGAUCGCAAGACCUCGCGCGAUUGGAGCGGCCGAUAUCAGAUUAGGUAGUUGGUGAGGUAAAGGCUCACCAAGCCGACGAUCUGUAGCUGGUCUGAGAGGACGACCAGCCACACUGGGACUGAGACACGGCCCAGACUCCUACGGGAGGCAGCAGUGGGGAAUUUUGGACAAUGGGCGCAAGCCUGAUCCAGCAAUGCCGCGUGCAGGAUGAAGGCCUUCGGGUUGUAAACUGCUUUUGUACGGAACGAAACGGUGAGCUCUAAUACAGUUUGCUAAUGACGGUACCGUAAGAAUAAGCACCGGCUAACUACGUG